GACGUAGGGGGCCAGCGUUGUUCGGAAUUACUGGGUGUAAAGGGUUCGUAGGCGGUGUGGCAAGUCGGGAGUGAAAUCUCUGGGCUCAACCCAGAGUCUGCUUCCGAAACUGCUGUGCUUGAGUGUGGGAGAGGCGCGUGGAAUUGCAGGUGUAGCGGUGAAAUGCGUAGAUAUCUGCAGGAACACCCGUGGCGAAAGCGGCGCGCUGGACCACUACUGACGCUGAGGAACGAAAGCUAGGGGGAGCAAACAGG
rnacentral:rRNA from 1 species